rnacentral:rRNA from 1 species
UAGGGAAUCUUCCGCAAUGGACGCAAGUCUGACGGAGCAACGCCGCGUGAGUGAAGAAGGAUUUCGGUUCGUAAAACUCUGUUGUUAGAGAAGAACAGCGCAUAGAGUAACUGUUAUGCGUGUGACGGUAUCUAACCAGAAAGCCACGGCUAACUACGUGCCAGCCGCCGCGGUAAUACGUAGGUGGCAAGCGUUGUCCGGAUUUAUUGGGCGUAAAGCGAGCGCAGGCGGUCAAUUAAGUCUGAUGUGAAAGCCCCCGGCUCAACCGGGGAGGGUCAUUGGAAACUGGUUGACUUGAGUGCAGAAGAGGAGAGUGGAAUUCCAUGUGUAGCGGUGAAAUGCGUAGAUAUAUGGAGGAACACCAGUGGCGAAGGCGACUCUCUGGUCUGUAACUGACGCUGAGGUUCGAAAGCGUGGGUAGCAAACAGG